GAUGAAGAACGUAGCGAAAUGCGAUACGUGAUGUGAAUUGCAGAAUUCAGUGAAUCAUCGAGUCUUUGAACGCACAUUGCGCCCCCUGGUAUUCCGGGGGGCAUGCCUGUCCGAGCGUCAUUGCUGCCCUCAAGCACGGCUUGUGUGUUGGGCCUCCGUCCUCCUCCCGGGGGACGGGCCCGAAAGGCAGCGGCGGCACCGCGUCCGGUCCUCGAGCGUAUGGGGCUUCGUCACCCGCUCUUGUAGGCCCGGCCGGCGCUUGCCGACACAUCAAUCUUUUUUCCAGGUUGACCUCGGAUCAGGUAGGGAUACCCGCUGAACUUAAGCAUAUCAAUAAGCGGAGGA
rnacentral:misc_RNA from 1 species